rnacentral:rRNA from 1 species
UAGGGAAUCUUCGGCAAUGGGGGGAACCCUGACCGAGCAACGCCGCGUGAGUGAAGAAGGUUUUCGGAUCGUAAAGCUCUGUUGUUAAGGAAGAACGAGUGUGAGAAUGGAAAGUUCAUACUGUGACGGUACUUAACCAGAAAGGGACGGCUAACUACGUGCCAGCAGCCGCGGUAAUACGUAGGUCCCGAGCGUUGUCCGGAUUUAUUGGGCGUAAAGCGAGCGCAGGCGGUUAGAUAAGUCUGAAGUUAAAGGCAGUGGCUCAACCAUUGUAGGCUUGGAAACUGUUUAACUUGAGUGCAGAAGGGGAGAGUGGAAUUCCAUGUGUAGCGGUGAAAUGCGUAGAUAUAUGGAGGAACACCGGUGGCGAAAGCGGCUCUCUGGUCUGUAACUGACGCUGAGGCUCGAAAGCGUGGGGAGCGAACAGG